UGCCUCUGUCUGCGUACCUCCUCAUACAGACUCUCAAGCACAGCCAGAGGAGGUGUGAAUUGGCCCAUCUUGGCCAGAUCUAGGGCAAGCUCUGAUGGAGAGAGGAAAGGGAAGUUAAAGUUGUAUCCUGUACAGAAGAGAAGAAUAUCUGCCCGGGUCACUGAUCCAUCCUGGAACUGUAAAGAGCCAUCCUCCAAAACACCAACAACAGCGCUGGCCUGCCGGAUGCCCAAAGGUGGAGGAAUGUAGGGCAGGUGGGGGUCGGAGUAAUGCCUGCAGAAAGAGGCAAGGAAAAAUGAGUCAGCGCCGAGAUGCUAAAGGGCUCCUGUGGUCUUCUGAAUUCCCUUGCAGAAAUGCCACAUGAAUGCAGAGCAUAAUACCUAUUCACAUCACCUCAGCGAGAUAAAAGCCUGUGGGUAUAUUGUGAGGUAAAUGAACAUGCCACUAUUUGAAUAAUGUUAUGCAUUUAGAACAUCACUGCGGAGCUGCAACGGGAGAUUAGAUGCCAUUGUGUCUGUUUGAGCAUGUCUGCGAGAUAAAAGGAUCUCUUUAAGAUGGCAUU